rfam:Oryza sativa Japonica Group cultivar Chahora 144 precursor microRNA 393 gene, complete sequence.
UGGGGAAGCAUCCAAAGGGAUCGCAUUGAUCCUUCAUCGCUCUCGCUCGCUUCCAUGGCGGUCGUCGUCUACAAGCAGCUUGACGGAUCAUGCGAUCCUUUUGGAGGCUUCCUCU